AACAAACGCUGGCGGCGUGCCUAAUACAUGCAAGUCGAACGGGGAAAGUAGCAAUACGAGUACUAGUGGCGCACGGGUGAGGAAUACAUGGGUAAUCUGCCCUCGAGCUCGGGAUAACCAGUCGAAAGACUGGCUAAUACCGGAUAUGACCACAAGAUCUGAGGAUCAAGGGGUAAAAGGUUUUUCGCUUGAGGAUGAGCCCAUGUGGGAUUAGCUAGUUGGUGUAGGUAACGGCUCACCAAGGCGACGAUCCCUAACUGGUCUUAGAGGAUGAUCAGUCACACUGGAACUGAGACACGGUCCAGACUCCUACGGGAGGCAGCAGUAGGGAAUAUUGCACAAUGGAGGAAACUCUGAUGCAGCGACACCGCGUGAGUGAUGAAGGCCUGGUCGUAAGCUCUGUCGUAUGGGACGUAACAAAAUAGAAGGU
rnacentral:rRNA from 1 species